AGGGGUGAUUAGUGACAGAGUGAGGGAGGGGGUGACACAGUGACAGAGUGAGGGAGGGGGUGACUAGUGACAGAGUGAAGGAGGUGGUGACUAUCACUAGUCACCCCCUCCCUCUCUCUGUCACUAGUGACACCCUCCCUCACUCUGUCACUAGUGACACCCUCCCUCACUCUGUCACUAGUCACCCCCUCCCUCUCUCUGUCACUAGUCACACCCU